rnacentral:rRNA from 1 species
GUAGCCUACGGGGGGCAGCAGUGGGGAAUAUUGCACAAUGGGCGAAAGCCUGAUGCAGCAACGCCGCGUGAAGGAAGAAGGGUUUCGGCUCGUAAACUUCUAUCAACAGGGACGAAAGAAAUGACGGUACCUGAAUAAGAAGCCCCGGCUAAAUACGUGCCAGCAGCCGCGGUAAUACGUAGGGGGGAAGCGUUAUCCGGAAUUACUGGGUGUAAAGGGAGAGGAGGCGG